rnacentral:rRNA from 1 species
UCCUACGGGAGGCAGCAGUGGGGAAUAUUGGACAAUGGGGGGAACCCUGAUCCAGCCAUGCCGCGUGUGUGAAGAAGGCCUUAUGGUUGUAAAGCACUUUAAGCGAGGAGGAGGGUACUGGUAUUAAUACUACCAGCUACUGGACGUUACUCGCAGAAUAAGCACCGGCUAACUCUGUGCCAGCAGCCGCGGUAAUACAGAGGGUGCGAGCGUUAAUCGGACUUACUGGGCGUAAAGCGUGCGUAGGCGGCUAAUUGAGUCGGAUGUGAAAUCCCCGAGCUUAACUUGGGAAUUGCAUUCGAUACUGGUUAGCUAGAGUGUGGGAGAGGAUGGUAGAAUUCCAGGUGUAGCGGUGAAAUGCGUAGAGGUCUGGAGGAAUACCGAUGGCGAAGGCAGCCAUCUGGCCUAACACUGACGCUGAGGUACGAAAGCAUGGGGAGCAAACAGGAUUAGAUACCCUGGUAGUCCAUGCCGUAAACGAUGUCUACUAGCCGUUGGUCUCUUUGAGGGAUUAGUGGCGCAGCUAACGCGAUAAGUAGACCGCCUGGGGAGUACGGUCGCAAGAUUAAAACUCAAAUGAAUUGACGGA